UACAGAGGGUGCAAGCGUUGUUCGGAAUUAUUGGGCGUAAAGGGCGCGUAGGCGGCUUUGCAAGUGGCGGGUGAAAUCCCUCGGCUUAACCGAGGAACUGCCUGUCAAACUGCAUGGCUUGAGACCAGGAGAGGUGAGUGGAAUUCCCAGUGUAGCGGUGAAAUGCGUAGAUAUUGGGAGGAACACCAGUGGCGAAGGCGACUUCCUGGCCUGUUCUUGACGCUGAGGCGCGAAAGCUAGGGGAGCAAACGGG
rnacentral:rRNA from 1 species